AUGAACGCUAGCUACAGGCUUAACACAUGCAAGUCGAGGGGCAGCAUGGUCUUAGCUUGCUAAGGCCGAUGGCGACCGGCGCACGGGUGAGUAACGCGUAUCCAACCUGCCUUACACUCUUGGACAGCCUUCUGAAAGGGAGAUUAAUACAAGAUGUUAUCAUGAGUAAGCAUUUUCGCAUGAUUAAAGGUUUACCGGUGUAAGAUGGGGAUGCGUUCCAUUAGAUAGUAGGCGGGGUAACGGCCCACCUAGUCUUCGAUGGAUAGGGGUUCUGAGAGGAAGGUCCCCCACAUUGGAACUGAGACACGGUCCAAACUCCUACGGGAGGCAGCAGUGAGGAAUAUUGGUCAAUGGACGAGAGUCUGAACCAGCCAAGUAGCGUGAAGGAUGAAGGUUCUAUGGAUUGUAAACUUCUUUUAUACGGGAAUAAACGAAUCCACGCGUGGAUUUUUGCAUGUACCGUAUGAAUAAGGAUCGGCUAACUCCGUGCCAGCAGCCGCGGUAAUACGGAGGAUCCGAGCGUUAUCCGGAUUUAUUGGGUUUAAAGGGAGCGUAGAUGGGUUGUUAAGUCAGUUGUGAAAGUUUGCGGCUCAACCGUAAAAUUGCAAUUGAUACUGGCAGUCUUGAGUACAGUUGAGGUAGGCGGAAUUCGUGGUGUAGCGGUGAAAUGCUUAGAUAUCACGAAGAACUCCGAUUGCGAAGGCAGCUUACUAACCUGUAACUGACAUUGAUGCUCGAAAGUGUGGGUAUCAAACAGGAUUAGAUACCCUGGUAGUCCACACGGUAAACGAUGAAUACUCGCUGUAGGCGAUAUACAGUCUGCGGCCAAGCGAAAGCAUUAAGUAUUCCACCUGGGGAGUACGCCGGCAACGGUGAAACUCAAAGGAAUUGACGGGGGCCCGCACAAGCGGAGGAACAUGUGGUUUAAUUCGAUGAUACGCGAGGAACCUUACCCGGGCUUAAAUUGCAACCGAAUAUGGCGGAAACGCUAUAGCUAGCAAUAGCGGUUGUGAAGGUGCUGCAUGGUUGUCGUCAGCUCGUGCCGUGAGGUGUCGGCUUAAGUGCCAUAACGAGCGCAACCCUUAUCGAUAGUUACCAUCAGGUGAUGCUGGGGACUCUGUCGAGACUGCCGUCGUAAGAUGUGAGGAAGGUGGGGAUGACGUCAAAUCAGCACGGCCCUUACGUCCGGGGCUACACACGUGUUACAAUGGGGGGUACAGAGGGCUGCUACCACGCAAGUGGAUGCCAAUCCCAAAAACCUCUCUCAGUUCGGAUUGAAGUCUGCAACCCGACUUCAUGAAGCUGGAUUCGCUAGUAAUCGCGCAUCAGCCACGGCGCGGUGAAUACGUUCCCGGGCCUUGUACACACCGCCCGUCAAGCCAUGGGAGCCGGGGGUACCUGAAGUGCGUAACCGCAAGGAGCGCCCUAGGGUAAAACUGGUGACUGGGGCU
rnacentral:rRNA from 1 species